rnacentral:rRNA from 1 species
ACUAAACAUCGUACCACCCUGAAUGCACCCAAUCUCAUCUGAUCUGGGAAGCUGAGCAGAGUUAGGCCUGCUUAGUACUUGGAUGGGAGGACCCUCUUUUACAUGUAGAAGUU